AAGGGAGACCUAAUUCAGGUAGGAGACGAAAAAAAAGUAGUCGCUACCAAGAAUCAAUCCCAAAAGGUCGGAGCGAGGCGAAAUUGGCUUUCAAACUAGGUUCUGGGUUCACACAAGACCUGAAUCAGGAACAAGGGCUAUUAGCUCAGGUGGUUAGAGCGCACCCCUGAUAAGGGUGAGGUCCCUGGUUCGAGUCCAGGAUGGCCCACCUGCACAGGUGGCAAAAACAAAGAAGCGAGGAAUCAGCACCUUAUCUUAUCUAUAUAUAAGAGAGAAUGCUGGCUCUGAGUAAAGAGUCCAGAGGAACCUUGAAACCUGCAUAGAGCUAGGUGAAAAAGCCAAAAAAGAAGACCGCAA
rnacentral:tRNA from 1 species